rnacentral:rRNA from 1 species
CCUACGGGGGGCAGCAGUGAGGAAUAUUGGUCAAUGGACGAGAGUCUGAACCAGCCAAGUAGCGUGAAGGAUGACUGCCCUAUGGGUUGUAAACUUCUUUUAUAUGGGAAUAAAACGUUCCACGUGUGGGAUUUUGUAUGUACCAUAUGAAUAAGGAUCGGCUAACUCCGUGCCAGCAGCCGCGGUAAUACGGAGGGUCCGAGCGUUAUCCGGAUUUAUUGGGUUUAAAGGGAGCGUAGGUGGAUUGUUAAGUCAGUUGUGAAAGUUUGCGGCUCAACCGUAAAAUUGCAGUUGAAACUGGCAGUCUUGAGUACAGUAGAGGUGGGCGGAAUUCGUGGUGUAGCGGUGAAAUGCUUAGAUAUCACGAAGAACUCCGAUUGCGAAGGCAGUUCACUGGACUGCAACUGACACUGAGGCUCGAAAGUGUGGGUAUCAAACAGGAUUAGAUACCCCUGUAGUC